AGCUAGUGGACUUCGAGGAAUACCAAGAACUACUGAAUUUGGUAUUUUAUUUAGUGAUACUGGAACAAUGAUAGAAAGGGUAAGAUCAUUGAGGAUUUGAAUUUUUAUUUAUAUAUUAGUAAUUUGAGUGCUAAUUUGGAUUCCUAUAUAGUGUGGAUCAAGAUAUAGGAUACAUUCUGCUCCUAGAAAAGUAGUAGAUAUUGGUAGACCAAUAUUGAUCUUCGAUACAGUGCACCUGGACUAAGGUGGCAAGGAAGAAAUGCUAUAACACAAAGGCAACUUCAACAACAGUUGAGGAGAAGACAAACUGAAGCAAGCCUAAGCCAACCUCAAGUCCAUUCUUCAUCUCAGCCAAGCCAGACUCCAUCUCAUCAAAACCUCAACCAAUCUCAGCCUUAAAGCUAAAUGAAUGUUUGUUUUUG
rnacentral:lncRNA from 1 species